UUAGAGUUUGAUCCUGGCUCAGGAUGAACGCUAGCGGCAGGUCUAACACAUGCAAGUCGAGGGGCAGCGCGGGUGGCAACACCUGGCGGCGACCGGCGCACGGGUGCGUAACGCGUAUGGAACCUGCCCACCGCAGGGGGAUAGCCCGUCGAAAGGCGGAUCAAUACCCCAUGGUCCCUAUGGCCCGCAUGGGCUAUUGGGUAAAGAUUUAUCGGCGGUGGAUGGCCAUGCGUGCCAUUAGCUGGUUGGUGGGGUAACGGCCCACCAAGGCGAUGAUGGCUAGGGGGUCUGAGAGGAUGGUCCUCCACACUGGUACUGAGACACGGACCAGACUCCUACGGGAGGCAGCAGUGAGGAAUAUUGGUCAAUGGGCGGAAGCCUGAACCAGCCAUGCCGCGUGCAGGAUGACGGCCCUACGGGUUGUAAACUGCUUUUGCGCGGGAAGAAUAACCCCCUCGUGAGGGGGGAUGCCGGUACCGCGCGAAUAAGGAUCGGCUAACUCCGUGCCAGCAGCCGCGGUAAUACGGAGGAUCCGAGCGUUAUCCGGAAUUAUUGGGUUUAAAGGGUGCGUAGGCGGCCAUUUAAGUCAGCGGUGAAAUUUUGCAGCUUAACUGUAACAGUGCCGUUGAUACUGUUUGGCUAGGAUUUGGUUGUAGUGUGCGGAAUGUGUGGUGUAGCGGUGAAAUGCUUAGAUAUCACACAGAACACCGAUUGCGAAGGCAGCACACUAAGUCAUUAUUGACGCUGAGGCACGAAAGUGUGGGGAUCAAACAGGAUUAGAUACCCUGGUAGUCCACACUGUAAACGAUGAUAAAUCGCUGUCGGCGAUACACAGUCGGUGGCCAAGCGAAAGCAUUAAGUUAUCCACCUGGGGAGUACGACCGCAAGGUUGAAACUCAAAGGAAUUGACGGGGGCCCGCACAAGCGGAGGAACAUGUGGUUUAAUUCGAUGAUACGCGAGGAACCUUACCCGGGCUCGAACGGUGCAUGAAUAUACGAGAGAUUGUAUAGUCCUUCGGGACAUGUAUCGAGGUGCUGCAUGGUUGUCGUCAGCUCGUGCCGUGAGGUGUCGGCUUAAGUGCCAUAACGAGCGCAACCCUCGUCAUUAGUUGCCAUCAGGUCAAGCUGGGGACUUUAAUGAGACUGCCACCGUAAGGUGUGAGGAAGGGGGGGAGGACGUCAAAUCAGCACGGCCCUUAUGUCCGGGGCGACAUACGUGUUACAAUGGGAGGUACAGAGGGCAGCUAUCCGGUGACGGAAUGCUAAUCUCCAAAACCUUUCUCAGUUCGGAUUGGAGUCUGCAACUCGACUCCAUGAAGGUGGAUUCGCUAGUAAUCGCGCAUCAGCCAUGGCGCGGUGAAUAAGUUCCCGGGCCUUGUACUCACCGCCC
rnacentral:rRNA from 1 species